UGUCCUUAUCAUGCAAUGUUAAAUAAAGAUUUAUGAGAUAGUCAUUUAGGUCCCAUGGAUAUAGAAGGUCGAGUGGGUGUUUUGUUGGCUCUGUUUGUUGGGGUCGUAUACGGCGUGUCGGACUCCAGUCAUUGCACAAAAUAUACAGAAUACAAUGCCCUUGCUGACCUAACGAAGCAUGACGAUUGCAUGAGUAUACAGUCUGUUUUCAAGCUACUCGUGGAACUUGGUUUAAAGGAAAAUGCGGCGGAAUGUAGGAACCAGGUUGUACAUCUCCUGUCCAAUCAUUUUGGUGACCAUGCUCAGACCCCGGAUAGCUGUCAAUGUCAAGGUGUGAUCCAACUACAGCAGUAUCAUACUGGAUCUGGCGACGAUGUAACUGAUCACAGACAGUCCUGUCUUAAUCAUAACCCUCCCUAUAGGGAUAUGUAUCAUCAGUUUUUCGAGUCACACCGCCGCAACAGCCAUGUUACAGCAUGCAUGACACAUCAUACAGUAUGGUCUCGUCUUAAAGACAUCAGUCACAGCGGUCAUUUUUGUCAGAAAGAUAUUAUAUUCCAUCUUAACUACGCGUUCGAACAUCACCCCGACAACUGUACAUGUAAAGAGGACACACAUCGCACCCAAAGUCACUCAAGUCAUGGCGACCAUGACUGUCAUCACUAUGACAGCUUUAACAAACUGUGGCAACUGGGAGAAACGGAUGGAUGUUUGAGUGCGAAUUCGGUAUGGCACUAUCUGGAUGAUAUUCAGGUCAAAGAUCCAGUAUGCCGACAGAAAAUUCAACAUCACUUGGCAGGCAAGUAUAAACAUGCGACUUCACAGGAUGACGACAAUUGUAUUUGUAACGAGCGCAGGCAGCUUGUGAAUCAUCAAAUCCACAAAAUGAGUAAUGGUAGCCUUAUACCCUGUCUCAAUGCCAGUGGCACAUACCCAGUCAUUGAAGCUGACCUGUUUUCAAACAUUAGCGCCAGUGGAUGCCAGAACCACAAUUACUUAUGGACAAAACUAGAAGGUGUGCACAACCACUGUAAGUGGACAAUCAAUCACCACUGCAGCAAAGAAACCGACUGUACAGAGGACAUCAUCGUAAGGGCCGCAAUUCAGUAUCCGACCGAUGAAUCUGACAGUUGUAUUUGCACUAAAGCUUCUUCGUCAACUGUGUUUACGACAUCUACGUCAAAGCAUCCCACACCAGUAGUUCCAUCCUCAAGUGAAGCUCCAAUGCCUACAUUAACUGCACCUUCAACAACAUCUGCAAAUCAGCAUGUAACAGUUUCGUCCGCAAAAGUAACGCAGUCGUAAACUGCUAUGUCUACACCACAGACAUCUCCAACAAUUACCUGCUGCUAAUAACAUGCAUUUCUCAAUUGAUUUACGUAAAGGCGUACGAACACACAUUGGCAUAGAGGCUAUUUGUAAUGACACGCAUAAGUCCAAGAUGGCGGCGCCCUACUGGUAUUCGGAUGUCUUUGACAGUACCCUUAGUAUCUAUUACCUGCUCAGAUUUGCAUGCAACAAAGUAGCAGUUGUUGAGAAGAUUGCAAAGUCCUUGAUAGCGACGCAUCCAAAUUCGAGCGCUUGUAAAUCGAACGUUACAGGCGGCUCUGACGACGCGUAUGUUCUGGCUACAUGCAACGUG
rnacentral:misc_RNA from 1 species